rnacentral:misc_RNA from 1 species
UUACCAGGGGCAUCCAGCUGUCCGA